GUUGUUGAGACUGGCCUCAAACUUGAGAUUCUCCUACCCUAACUUCCUGAGUUGCUGGAAUUAUAGGUGUUAAUCAUUAUUGUUAUCAUAGGUUUUAAAUAGAUACUUCUGACAGUUCUGCCAUAUUGGCUCUCUAGCCUCUGGAGUCACCCAAAUUAUGACAGUGAAAAUGGAGCAGGUGAAGUCAUUCCAUUGUCCCUAUAGCUUUGGAAGUAUGUUUGGACCUCCAUAGGGACUUUGUAAUGAAGUGAAGAAAUUUCAUUUAUCAGUGGGAUGCUUCCAUUCUGUUUCCUCCAGGAUCAAGGCAUCACAGGAAGAUGAACAGAGUAGAAUGUGAGGACAUGAACAGGUGGGCCAAGGCGGAUCGUCCCAAGAAUCAAAUAACAUUGUUUCUCAACAGUGCUCAACUCUGCCUACCUCUAUUAUCAAGCAUUUGGUUAUAUUCUCCAUUUCUGUUUUUUUCAUCCUUUGAGAACUACAAGACUGACUGACUUCUGGGCUCAGCAGUGAAAACCUGUAAUCCCAGCAACUUGGGAAGCUGAUGGAUUGCAAAUUCAAGCACAAUUCCAGCAAGGCCUGAGCCAGCAAAUGGAGAAAAGCGAUCAAAAGCGAUCGGACAACCGUACCGAAUCACAAACACAAAGAGGGCCAUUCCCCGUAAUUAGGUGGCAUCGUGGGCAGCUGUAACCAUUGCUGGAGUUCCUCUGCAGCUUUCUGAACAACUGCAGCUUCCAUGACAAGGAGCACCAACCCUCAAAGAGCUCAUGACCUGCAAGGGGCACCCACUGCCACUCUCACCCCACUUUCAUUUCAAGCCCCGUCACCUUCAUGUCUCUCUGCCUCUUCUGCAGCCCUAUUCUCUCUCCUGGAUGAUUCCUGGCUUUUAAAACAGAAAAGUGGCCCAUCAGCUGCCAAGGCCAGAAGCCCCAACUGGCCACACUCCAUGUGACUCAGAGGUUGGCCACUUAAUGAACAAACAGCCCCAGGAUUGCAGCCCAUUACAGGGAUUACUUGGGGCAAUGCAGUAACAAACUUGGUCAUAACCAGGGACAAAGGAAUGCAGGGGAGAGUGGCAGUUGGGAUCGCAAUUAAACUCAAGCUCUGAGCAGAACUGGCUCGCACAUAUUUUUAUCCUUAUCUUGCCCUCUGCUUUCUGUCAAUCUCUACCUGAUGCUUUUGAAAGUGACCUCAAGGAAACAAUUAUGUAGAAUCCAAGGAGCCCAAAACUCAAGUCAUCAGAGU